rnacentral:rRNA from 1 species
GCCUACCAUGCAGUCGAACGGUAACAGGAAGCAGCUUGCUUGCUUUGCUGACGAGUGGCGGACGGGAAGAUAAUGUCUGGGAAACUGCCUGAUGGAGGGGGAUAACUACUGGAAACGGUAGCUAAUACCGCAUAACGUCGCAAGACCAAAGAGGGGGACCUUCGGGCCUCUUGCCAUCGGAUGUGCCCAGAUGGGAUUAGCUAGUAGGUGGGGUAAAGGCUCACCUAGGCGACGAUCCCUAGCUGGUCUGAGAGGAUGACCAGCCACACUGGAACUGAGACACGGUCCAGACUCCUACGGGAGGCAGCAGUGGGGAAUAUUGCACAAUGGGCGCAAGCCUGAUGCAGCCAUGCCGCGUGUAUGAAGAAGGCCUUCGGGUUGUAAAGUACUUUCAGCGGGGAGGAAGGGAGUAAAGUUAAUACCUUUGCUCAUUGACGUUACCCGCAGAAGAAGCACCGGCUAACUCCGUGCCAGCAGCCGCGGUAAUACGGAGGGUGCAAGCGUUAAUCGGAAUUACUGGGCGUAAAGCGCACGCAGGCGGUUUGUUAAGUCAGAUGUGAAAUCCCCGGGCUCAACCUGGGAACUGCAUCUGAUACUGGCAAGCUUGAGUCUCGUAGAGGGGGGUAGAAUUCCAGGUGUAGCGGUGAAAUGCGUAGAGAUCUGGAGGAAUACCGGUGGCGAAGGCGGCCCCCUGGACGAAGACUGACGCUCAGGUGCGAAAGCGUGGGGAGCAAACAGGAUUAGAUACCCCUGGUAGUCCACGCCGUAAACGAUGUCGACUUGGAGGUUGUGCCCUUGAGGCGUGGCUUCCGGAGCUAACGCGUUAGUCGACCGCCUGGGGAGUACGGCCGCAAGGUUAAAACUCAAAUGAAUUGACGGGGGCCCGCCCCAA